ACUAUACUAUGUCGAUGGGAGAUGCUCUUCUGUCAACUACCCUUGUGCUUCUUGUUCAGGUGGAGUACAGGAGUCGAAGAGAGAGCGAUCUGUGAUUGAUUUAGUGGGUCUUCACUAGACCUUCUAAAUCGACUGCUGAUGCAUGGAUCACCACGUGUCGAUUCCCUGGGGUUCACUUGUAUAUCUAGAAAGCAGAUUAACGGCUUGUGUGUCUCAUCCGACGAAGUGGCAUCUCCAGGACUGUAUGGAUGUGGGAGGCAGAAGUCUCUCUCGGAGAAAGGGGGAGUCAAGACAGUUAAAUUCAGUCAUCUAGUGGCCAGAGUUGGAAGGAGGAACUGUGUAUCCUGGAUUCUAUUUCUGCUGGGAUAUACAGUACUGAGAUCUGGAAAUGAAGGAUGCUACCCCUGGAAAAUAUUGCUGUGAAGAGAAGAACAUUGCAAUGAUGAGUGGAAUUUCCAUUGUUGUACUGGUGGCUGGUAUUUCAUGAGUAAGUUCUGAGAUACUCACCUCUUAACAGGAAUAAAUAAGAAAUGAUAAGCAAAUCAUGAGUGGGCAAAGAUAAAAUAAGACUUUAUUACACCUUGAAAACAAGGAAAAAUAACCUGAUGCAUAGCGAUUUUAAAUGUGCAGCACUGAACUGAAUUAGACGGAUGUGAAAUGUAUUGGCCAGAUACGUUUUACACCAAAGCUCUGCUUAGCACAAGAAAGAGGUGAUGAGGAAUUGGGGAAUCCUUAUCAGGCCCCUGACUCUGUGCCAACACUAGCCCCAAGGCAACUUAGAGCUGCUUCCCACCAGCCAGACACCUGCAAAAGUAUUUUCCAUAGUAACUCAGA